UGCAUUUAAUAUGAAAGAGGUGAAUUACGGUUGGACAGACAUAUAGCGCAAAUGCCAGGUCUUGUUUACGUUCUGUUUUGAUCAGAACUUAUACAUUUGGCAGCGGUCUUAAGGGGUUAAGAGGUGUGUCUCAAUACUUGUGUCCAUAUAGUGUAUCUGUAGCCUUCACCUAUGAAGUAUUUUAAAACCUUUUAGAGCAGCC